GAUGAAGAACGUAGCGAAAUGCGAUACGUAAUGUGAAUUGCAGAAUUCAGUGAAUCAUCGAAUCUUUGAACGCAUAUUGCGCUCUCUGUUAUUCCGGAGAGCAUGCUUGUUUGAGUAUCAGUAAACACCUCAACUUCCAUAUCUUUUUUGAAAUGGGAGUUGGACUUGAGUGAUCCCAACGCUUUUCCUCACCGAAAAGUGGCGGGUUACUUGAAAUGCAGGUGCAGCUGGACUUUUCUCUGAGCUAUAAGCAUAUCUAUUUAGUCUGCCUAAAAAACAGAUUAUUACCUUUGCUGCAGCUAACAUAAAGGAGAUUAGUUCUUGUGCUGACUGAUGCAGGAUUCACAAAGACAGCUUCGGCCGACUUUGUAAACUCGAUCUCAAAUCAAGUAAGACUACCCGCUGAACUUAAGCAUAUCAAUAAGCGGAGGA
rnacentral:misc_RNA from 1 species